rnacentral:rRNA from 1 species
AGCACGUAGGUGGGUUUGUAAGUCAGAUGUGAAAGCCUUCUGUUCAACGGGAGAAUUGCAUCUGAAACUACAGACCUUGAGUAUAGGAGGGGAGAGUGGAACUUCUGGUGGAGCGGUGAAAUGCGUAGAUAUCAGAAGGAACGCCGGCGGCGAAAGCGAUUCUCUGGCCUAUUACUGACACUCAGUGUACGAAAGCUAGGGGAGCAAACGGGAUUAGAUACCCCGGUAGUCCUAGCCGUAAACGAUGGGCACUAAGUAGAGGGGUUUU